rnacentral:tRNA from 1 species
GUGGCCGUAGCUCAAUGGCAGAGCCAUGGAUUGUGGAUCCGUUGAUGUCGGUUCGACUCCGACCGGUCACCCCC